AAAACAUAUUGAUACUGGUAAAUUAUCAUAGCAGUUGCUCAGCAUGCUCAGUAUUGACAUUGUAAAAAAUGUAUCAUUGGACAAAAUGUGACAAACAGCUAUUUCUCACAAUUUGCUAAAUUAGCGUUGUGCAGCUUCAAAGCGAGCCUAAGUAACUUCUGCUAAACAGCGGCUACUGUGACUACAAGCAACAGUUUGGGGAUAAUGGUAAAUAUUAAAAUGUAGACAAACAGUAGAGAAGAGUGCUACCGAAAGUGGGCUAACAUUAGCCACGAUGAGCCACUGGUCAUACCAGACCAAGUAAAGGCCUUUGCAGUGUGUAGUCUUCAUCGGAAAUUGUCACAUGUGUAAAAAUAUAUACGACCUCACGUUGUGUCAAUCACGUUUACACACUGUCUCCGAAACUUUUGUUCGUCAUUAAAGUUUUUUUUAAAAACAUUUUUAUGUAGACGAAUAUAAAAAAAAAUAAAAUAAUAAUAAUACAUCCACAGAGCUUUUAGAAAGGUGUUGAAUAAAAGAAUGGCUUUUCCUAGAAAAAAAUAUGACUGUGAAUAAAUCAUUUAAAAAAUGUUGGUGGGUCCAAAAUGAAUGUUUCGUUUAUCUCUGUGGAAGAUAUUUGACGUUUGGCUCCCACUUCAAACGAGGCUUGUGAGCAAAUAGUAAAACAACAUUGGUAUAACACGGUAUCUCUGGGUCGUCAGUUAGUGU